GGAACCUGGUUGAUCCUGCCAGUAGUCAUAUGCUUGUUUCAAGGACUAAGCCAUGCAUGCCUCAGAAUCACUGCAUUGCAGGAAUCUGCGCAUGGCUCAUUACAUCAGACGUAAUCUGCCGCAAUAAUCUGCGGUUUCCGCAUAUUGGAUACCUUGGCGAAACGCCAAGCUAAUACAUGAACAUCUCGGAUUCC
rnacentral:rRNA from 1 species